UAUGUACUGGCUUUACUGAUUCCUCCUUCUUGACGAACCGUGAUGUCAUUAAUUUGGUGUUGCGGGAAAUCAGGACUGUUACUUUGAAAAAAUUAGAGUGUUUAAAGCAGGCUAACGCUUGAAUACAUUAGCAUGGAAUAAUGAAAUAGGACGUUAAUCCUAUUUUGUUGGUUUCUAGGAUCGACGUAAUGAUUAAUAGGGAUAGUUGGGGGCAUUAGUAUUCAAUUGUCAGAGGUGAAAUUCUUGGAUUUAUUGAAGACUAACUACUGCGAAAGCAUUUGCCAAGGAUGUUUUCAUUAAUCAAGAACGAAAGUUAGGGGAUCGAAAACAAUCAAAUACCGUCGUAGUCUUAACCAUAAACUAUGCCGA
rnacentral:rRNA from 1 species